rnacentral:tRNA from 1 species
UGUGAUGUGGCUCAGUUGGUAGAGCGCUUGCCCUGCAUGCAUGGGGUCCUGGGUUCCAUUCUCGGUGCUACAU